GAUGAACGCUGGCGGCGUGCCUAACACAUGCAAGUCGAACGGAGUCGUCUUGGCAAUCUCUUCGGAGAUGGAAUUCUCGACUUAGUGGCGGACGGGUGAGUAACGCGUGAGCAAUCUGCCUUUAAGAGGGGGAUAACUGUCGGAAACGGCUGCUAAUACCGCAUAAGGCAUUAAAUUCGCAUGUUUUUGAUGCCAAAGGAGCAAUCCGCUUUUAGAUGAGCUCGCGUCUGAUUAGCUAGUUGGCGGGGUAACGACCCACCAAGGCGACGAUCAGUCGCCGGACGGAGGAGAGGAACGGCCACAUUGGGACUGAGACACGGCGCAGACUCCUACGGGAGGCAGCAGUAGGGAAUAUUGCGCAAUGGGGGAAACCAUGACGAAGCAACGCCGCGGGAUGGAAGAAGGAGUUCGGAUUGUAAAGAUGUUUAAUUAGGGGCGAAGCAAAUGACGGUACCUGAAGAAUAAGCUCCGGCUAACUACGUG
rnacentral:rRNA from 1 species